CCUACGGGAGGCAGCAGUAGGGAAUCUUCGGCAAUGGGGGCAACCCUGACCGAGCAACGCCGCGUGAGUGAAGAAGGUUUUCGGAUCGUAAAGCUCUGUUGUAAGUCAAGAACGAGUGUGAGAGUGGAAAGUUCACACUGUGACGGUAGCUUACCAGAAAGGGACGGCUAACUACGUGCCAGCAGCCGCGGUAAUACGUAGGUCCCGAGCGUUGUCCGGAUUUAUUGGGCGUAAAGCGAGCGCAGGCGGUUUGAUAAGUCUGAAGUUAAAGGCUGUGGCUCAACCAUAGUUCGCUUUGGAAACUGUCAAACUUGAGUGCAGAAGGGGAGAGUGGAAUUCCAUGUGUAGCGGUGAAAUGCGUAGAUAUAUGGAGGAACACCGGUGGCGAAAGCGGCUCUCUGGUCUGUAACUGACGCUGAGGCUCGAAAGCGUGGGGAGCGAACAGGAUUAGAGACCCGGGUAGUC
rnacentral:rRNA from 1 species